AGCUUUGCGCAAUGGCAGUAUCAUAGCCAAUGAGGUUUAUCCGAGGCACGAUUAUUGCUAAUUUAAACAGAAACACGAAAUCUCCUAGAAGAGAAAGUAGGAGGAUCUCUUGAAGACAUAGGGGUAGG
rnacentral:snRNA from 1 species